rnacentral:misc_RNA from 1 species
AACACUGUUAACCUGCGGUACCUGCGGAGGGAUCAUUACUGAGUUAGGGUCUUUUUUGGCCCGACCUCCAACCCUUUGUUUAUUAAACCAUGUUGCUUUGGCGGGCCUGCCUUUCGGGGCUGCCGGGGGCAUCACUGCCCCUGACUCGUGCCUGCCAGGAGCCUUCUUAAAUUCAGUGUUCAAUGGUGCUGUCUGAGUCCGGGUAUCAAAAUAUCAUAAAACUUUUAACAACGGAUCUCA